rnacentral:rRNA from 1 species
GACGUAGGGCGCGAGCGUUGUCCGGAUUUAUUGGGCGUAAAGAGCUCGUAGGCGGCUUGUCGCGUCGACUGUGAAAUCCCGCGGCUCAACUGCGGGUCUGCAGUCGAUACGGGCAGGCUAGAGUUCGGUAGGGGAGACUGGAAUUCCUGGUGUAGCGGUGAAAUGUGCAGAUAUCAGGAGGAACACCGGUGGCGAAGGCGGGUCACUGGUCCGGUACUGACGCUGAGGUGCGAAAGCGUGGGGAGCAAACAGG